rnacentral:rRNA from 1 species
CAGUAGCGUAUAUUAAAGCUGCUGCAGUUAAAAAGCUCGUAGUCGGAUUUCUGGCUUGGGCGGGCGGUCCGUCGCAAGGCGUGUACUGCUCGCGUCCCGGCCAGUCUACCGGUUUGUGUCUCGCGGUGCUCUUCACUGAGUGCCGCAAGCGGCCGGAACGUUUACUUUGAGAAAAUUGGAGUGUUCAAAGCAGGCACAACCGCCUGAACAGCUCAGCAUGGAAUAAUGGAAGAGGACCUCGGGUCUAUUUCGUUGGUCUCUAGACAAGAGGUAAUGAUCAAAAGGGACAGACGGGGGCAUUCGUACUGCGGUGUGAGAGGUGAAAUUCUUGGAUCGCCGCAAGACGCCCAAAAGCGAAAGCAUUUGCCAAGAAUGUCUUCAUUGA